UACGUAGGGGGCAAGCGUUAUCCGGAUUUACUGGGUGUAAAGGGGGCGCAGACGGCGAUGCAAGCCAGGAGUGAAAGCCCGGGGCCCAACCCCGGGACUGCUCUUGGAACUGCGUGGCUGGAGUGCAGGAGGGGCAGGCGGAAUUCCUGGUGUAGCGGUGAAAUGCGUAGAUAUCAGGAGGGACACCGGUGGCGAAGGCGGCCUGCUGGACUGCAACUGACGUUGAGGCCCGAAAGCGUGGGGAACAAACAGG
rnacentral:rRNA from 1 species